UACGGGGGGAGCAAGCGUUGUUCGGAUUUACUGGGCGUAAAGGGCGCGUAGGCGGUCGUGACAAGUCACUUGUGAAAUCUCCGGGCUUAACUCGGAACGGCAAGUGAUACUGUCGUGCUAGAGUACAGAAGGGGCAACUGGAAUUCUCGGUGUAGCGGUGAAAUGCGUAGAUAUCGAGAGGAACACCUGCGGCGAAGGCGGGUUGCUGGGCUGAUACUGACGCUGAGGCGCGAAAGCUAGGGGAGCGAACGGG
rnacentral:rRNA from 1 species